rnacentral:lncRNA from 10 species
GACACCGUCUCCAAAAAUAUAUAUGUAUAAAAAGAAUCUCUCCAACUAUUCAUUGUACAAAGAGGUAAAAACCUAAAUCUAAAAGAACAAUAUAUAUUGAAAUAUUAUGAGACUAAUAGCAUUAAUUGUAGCACUCAUAUUUAAUUGUAUCCUUUGUUAUACAUAAAUCUUGAGAAUAAGUGAUCAAAUACUUGGUGAUUAAUAAAAAAUCUCCUCCCUGUAAUAGUCAAAAGAAUAUUCAGUAAGUGUCCUGGAAGGAUACUCCACACACCCAGUUACUGGUCUCACCCUUCCUCUGUGCAUUCUUUGGAAACUUGCACAGACUCAACCUGCUCACUUAUUUUGUCUUGCCAUAAAAGUGCUAGACAAAUAAGAAAAAUGAGUAUGUACGCUUUUGGCUUACAGCUGACCAAAAUCUCAGAAAUACCAGGAUUGUACAGCUUGUUCUCUCAUCUUUUAAUGUUAUCAAAUAUUAACAUCUACAUGAGAUUUUUUUUCAUAGCACACAGCAAACAAUUCCUACCAGUGCCUUAGCUUUACAACUGUACAAGCAGAUCCAUCCUGUAGAUAUUCUUAAAGAGGCUGUUAUGGUAUUUGCCAAGAACAAAUUAUCCUGUGAGUGAGGGUGUUGUCUGAGAUGAGAUAGCGACUUUGUGAACUGACCCAUAAGAAUUCACAGACCAUCUCUGUUUCACCUUCUCCCAAUUAUAUUCACAUGCAACCCAAGAAGUUUGAUAAUUCUUACCUCUUCAACAAAGACAAUUUUCCCUUUUCUAGUCUUCACCUCAUUCUGCCAGGAAAAAGAAAAGGAUGUACAGAGGGGCAAGUUGUCUGAUGAGAAUCCAAAUAGCCAAUAUAUCUUUCUUGUGGACCCCUUCCUCUCUAUUUAUUGCUCCAUGGAAUAUUUAUACCUCAUCACCAUGAGGAAAGGGGCCAAACCUUUUCUGUUUUCAGAAUGGCUUUAUUGAUUACC